rnacentral:lncRNA from 1 species
GGACCCACUUGGAAAGCGUGGGCGCACAUGAAUAUAUGGGAAUCGGGCGAAAUUCUAGUUUUUUGGCCGUAAAAUGCAAAACAACGAGGAAUGGCCAUGGCGGGGCGGUGGUUAUGGUUGCUUAGGUCAUAUUUAAUGACCCGUAAUAAAUUUAGGCGAUCGGGGUCCGGAGGCCCAGACACACUCGGAAGGCGUGGGCUAUAACAUGCGAAAAUAUGGCAAUCGGGCGAAAUUCUAGUUUUUUGGCCGUAUAAAGCAAAACAACGAGGAACGGUCUUUGCGGGAUGGUGACUAUGGUUCCUUAUGUCUUAUUUGAUGGCCCAAAUAAAUUAUAGGCGAUCGGGGUCCGGGGGGCCCGGACCCACUCGGAAGGAGUGGGCUAUAGCACGCAAAAAUAUGGGAAUCCGGCGAAAUUCUAAUUUUUUGUCCAUAAAACACAAAACAACGAGGAAAGGCUAUGGCGGGGCGGUGACUAUGGUUCCUUAGGUCGUAUUUGAUGGCCCGAAAUAAUUUUAGGCGAUCGGUGUCCAGGGGCCCGGACCCACUCGGAAGGGGUGGGCUAUAACACAUGAAAAUAUGGGAAUCGGGCGAGAAUCUAGUUUUUUGUUCGUAAAACGCAAAACAACGAGGAACGCCGGUGGCAGGGCAGUGACUAUGGUUCCUUAGG